rnacentral:rRNA from 1 species
CCGUAGCCCAAGAGACUGGGAUAACACCUGGAAACAGAUGCUAAUACCGGAUAACAACACUAGACGCAUGUCUAGAGUUUAAAAGAUGGUUCUGCUAUCACUCUUGGAUGGACCUGCGGUGCAUUAGCUAGUUGGUAAGGUAACGGCUUACCAAGGCAAUGAUGCAUAGCCGAGUUGAGAGACUGAUCGGCCACAUUGGGACUGAGACACGGCCCAAACUCCUACGGGAGGCAGCAG